AUUGAACGCUGGCGGCAUGCCUUACACAUGCAAGUCGAACGGUAACAGGUCUUCGGAUGCUGACGAGUGGCGAACGGGUGAGUAAUACAUCGGAACGUGCCUAGUAGUGGGGGAUAACUACUCGAAAGAGUGGCUAAUACCGCAGGAGAUCUACGGAUGAAAGCAGGGGAUCGCAAGACCUUGUGCUACUAGAGCGGCCGAUGGCAGAUUAGGUAGUUGGUGGGUUAAAAGCGUACCAAGCCGACGAUCUGUAGCUGGUCUGAGAGGACGAUCAGCCACACUGGGACUGAGACACGGCCCAGACUCCUACGGGAGGCAGCAGUGGGGAAUUUUGGACAAUGGGCGAAAGCCUGAUCCAGCAAUGCCGCGUGCAGGAUGAAGGCCUUCGGGUUGUAAACUGCUUUUGUACGGAACGAAAAGCCCCGGGUUAAUACCCUGGGGUCAUGACGGUACCGUAAGAAUAAGCACCGGCUAACUACGUGCCAGCAGCCGCCGUAA
rnacentral:rRNA from 1 species